GACGAACGCUGGCGGCGUGCCUAAUACAUGCAAGUCGACCUUAGUGGCGAACGGGUGAGUAACACGUGGGUAACCUGCCCAUCAGAAGGGGAUAACACUUGGAAAUAGGUGCUAAUACCGUAUACCGUUGGCUGGUUCCGCGGUUCAUUAGCUAGUUGGUGCGGUAACGGCGCACCAAGGCCACGCUGCAUAGCCGACCUGGGGGGGUGAGCGGCCACAGUGGGAAUGAGACACGGCCCAAACUCCUACGGGAGGCAGCAGGAGGGAAUCGUCGGCAAUGGGCGAAAGUCUGACCUAGCAACGCCGCGUGAGUGAAGAAGGUUUUCGGAUCGUAAAGCUCUGUUGUUAGGGAAGCGGUAUCUAAACAGAAAGCCACGGCUAACUACGUGCCAGCAGCCGCGGUAAUAC
rnacentral:rRNA from 1 species